rnacentral:rRNA from 1 species
UACGUAGGGGGCAAGCGUUGUCCGGAUUUAUUGGGCGUAAAGAGCGUGUAGGCGGCCUUACAGGUCAGCUGUGAAAACUCGAGGCUCAACCUCGAGACGUCGGUUGAAACCGUAUGGCUAGAGUCCGGAAGAGGAGAGUGGAAUUCCCGGUGUAGCGGUGUAAUGCGCAGAUAUCGGGAAGAACACCCGUGGCGAAGGCGGCUCUCUGGGACGGUACUGACGCUGAGACGCGAAAGCGUGGGGAGCGAACAGG